rnacentral:rRNA from 1 species
UGGGGAAUAUUGGACAAUGGGCGAAAGCCUGAUCCAGCCAUGCCGCGUGUGUGAAGAAGGUCUUCGGAUUGUAAAGCACUUUAAGUUGGGAGGAAGGGCAGUAAGCGAAUACCUUGCUGUUUUGACGUUACCGACAGAAUAAGCACCGGCUAACUCUGUGCCAGCAGCCGCGGUAAUACAGAGGGUGCGAGCGUUAAUCGGAUUUACUGGGCGUAAAGCGUGCGUAGGCGGCUAAUUGAGUCGGAUGUGAAAUCCCAGAGCUUAACUUGGGAAUUGCAUUCGAUACUGGUUAGCUAGAGUGUGGGAGAGGAUGGUAGAAUUCUAGGUGUAGCGGUGAAAUGCGUAGAGAUCUGGAGGAAUACCGAUGGCGAAGGCAGCCAUCUGGCCUAACACUGACGCUGAGGUACGAAAGCAUGGGGAGCAAACAGG